UACGGGGGGAGCAAGCGUUGUUCGGAAUUACUGGGCGUAAAGGGCGCGUAGGCGGCCUGCUAAGUCGAACGUGAAAUCCCUGGGCUCAACCCAGGAACUGCGUCCGAUACUGGUUGGCUUGAAUCCGGGAGAGGGACGUGGAAUUCCAGGUGUAGCGGUGAAAUGCGUAGAUAUCUGGAGGAACACCGGUGGCGAAGGCGACGUCCUGGACCGGCAUUGACGCUGAGGCGCGAAAGCCAGGGGAGCAAACGGG
rnacentral:rRNA from 1 species